GGAUUUAUUGGGGUUAAAGGGUGCGUAGGCGGUCCUGCAAGUCUGGAGUGAAACGCAUGAGCUCAACUGGUGCAUGGCUUUGGAAACUGGGGGACUGGAGAGCAGGAGAGGGCGGUGGAACUCCAUGUGUAGCGGUAAAAUGCGUAGAUAUAUGGAAGAACACCAGUGGCGAAGGCGGCCGCCUGGCCUGUUGCUGACGCUGAGGCACGAAAGCGUGGGGAGCAAAUAGG
rnacentral:rRNA from 1 species